rnacentral:rRNA from 1 species
AGUGAAUGCUGGCGGUAGGCCUAACACAUGCAAGUCGAACGGCAGCACAGUAAGAGCUUGCUCUUACGGGUGGCGAGUGGCGGACGGGUGAGGAAUACAUCGGAAUCUACUUUUUCGUGGGGGAUAACGUAGGGAAACUUACGCUAAUAUCGCAUACGACCUACGGGUGAAAGCAGGGGAUCUUCGGACCUUGCGCGAUUGAAUGAGCCGAUGUCGGAUUAGCUAGUUGGCGGGGUAAAGGCCCACCAAGGCGACGAUCCGUAGCUGGUCUGAGAGGAUGAUCAGCCACACUGGAACUGAGACACGGUCCAGACUCCUACGGGAGGCAGCAGUGGGGAAUAUUGGACAAUGGGCGCAAGCCUGAUCCAGCCAUACCGCGUGGGUGAAGAAGGCCUUCGGGUUGUAAAGCCCUUUUGUUGGGAAAGAAAAGCAGCAGGUUAAUACCCCGCUGUUCUGACGGUACCCAAAGAAUAAGCACCGGCUAACUUCGUG